GGCCUGGUGGUGUAAUGGUAACAUGCCUAUUAUUUCUAUGCAGUAAUUUGAUAAAGCCCUCUCGGUGGGAGUUCCUUGUUCGAUUCAAGGUCAGGCUA